rnacentral:lncRNA from 1 species
ACAUGUUCCAGGCAAAAUGAAGGAACAAGGAUGACUGGUGGAGAGUAAGCAGUCUGCAUGGUGUGAUGGCUGGCUGAGGUGGUCUUGUGGAUCUGCGACACUGGAGGAAGUGCUGUCCUGGGAGGAAAGUCUGGCAAAGCAAGCCUGGAUCAGUGGAAGGGCUUGAGCAGCAGGCUGAGCAGUAUGGGCUUUGGACUACAGGUUCUGAAGGACUGCAAGGAAAUACCUGGGGAAUACUAGAA